UGCAGUUUUUGAGUGAAGCAACCCAGAAUCGGGGUCCCUCCUUUCUGUUUCUGAGUGUGUCACCCAAGAACCGCA
rfam:Myotis davidii contig84462, whole genome shotgun sequence.